GGAGCGUAUGCCGAAAAGCUUAUAGAGUAGGCG
rnacentral:ncRNA from 1 species